rnacentral:lncRNA from 1 species
CAAAACAGCACCAACACUUAAGUCUUCAAAGCAGACAAUGCUCCUCUUGAAGUCAGGUUUAUCAAAAUCUGUUCGGAUGUCAAAGCCCUCAGGCUGAGUCAGACCAUCAAUGAUUAGCUGCAGUGUGUGCACCGUUGUAUUUAACCUUUUGGCUGUCCCUUCCAGUCCUUCCUUUUGAAUUACUGCAUUUACUUUCUGCUGCAUAUCUGAUUUUCCUAUUUCAUUUGUGUUUCCUCCAAUGAAGGAUAAAAAUCUCAUUGCAAUGCUGUAAGACUCUGGAUGGAUACAAGUUUGGUCCAAAGGAUUGGGUAGGUAUGAGGCACUUGGUGUUGGCUUGCUCUUCUUUUUACCUUGUUUCUCAUUGGUGAGUUGUGUACGUGCUUUAGCGAAAAGUGCAUGACUUCCAAGCUGAGUUUUCUUAUUACUGCAGAAAGUCUUUAUGUAGUCUUGAUUGAAUCUGAUGAAGCCAGCACACUGUUGGAAAGUUUUGGGACCCAAACCUUUAACUUCCUUGAGCUGUUCUCGAUUUAUAAAUGGUCCAUUCUUCUCUCGCCAUUCAAUAAUGUUUCUAGCCCUGGUGGCAUUCAGUCCUGCAAUAUGUCUUAAUAGUAUUUCUGAGCAGAUGUUAAUAUCAACUCCUACAAAGCUGACACACUCUUCAACCACACUGUCCAGAGUUGCUUUGAGCAAGGUCUGUGAUACAUCAUGCUGCUUACAAGGGC